rnacentral:rRNA from 1 species
AACGCUAGCUACAGGCUUAACACAUGCAAGUCGAGGGGUAGCACGGAGGAAGCUUGCUUCCUUGGGUGACGACCGGCGCACGGGUGAGUAACGCGUAUCCGACCUACCCAUAACACGGGCACAGCCGCUCGAAAGAGUGAUUGAUUCCCGAUAUGUCAUUGGAGUAGAUUCAAUGAUGAAAGAUUUAUCGGUUAUGGAUGGGGAUGCGUAAGAUUAGGUAGUAGGCGGGGUAACGGCCCACCUAGCCGACGAUCUUUAGGGGUUCUGAGAGGAAGGUCCCCCACACUGGUACUGAGACACGGACCAGACUCCUACGGGAGGCAGCAGUGAGGAAUAUUGGUCAAUGGGCGGAAGCCUGAACCAGCCAAGUAGCGUGAAGGAUUACAGCCCUACGGGUUUUAAACUUCUUUUAUAUGAGAGUAAUGUGCGCUACGUGUAGCGUAUUGCAAGUAUCAUAUGAAUAAGCAUAGGCUAACUCCGUGCCAGCAGCCGCGGUAAUACGGAGGAUGCGAGCGUUAUCCGGAUUUAUUGGGUUUAAAGGGAGCGUAGGCGGGAUAUUAAGUUAGUCGUCAAAGCCUGUGGCUCAACCACAGCCCGCGAUUGAUACUGGUAACCUUGAGUGCGGAUGAGGUGGAUGGAAUUCGUGGUGUAGCGGUGAAAUGCUUAGAUAUCACGAAGAACUCCGAUUG